rnacentral:rRNA from 1 species
UACGUAGGGUCCAAGCGUUAUCCGGAAUUACUGGGCGUAAAGGGCGCGUAGGCGGCCUUCUAAGUCGAACGUGAAAUCCCCGGGCUCAACCCGGGAACUGCGUCCGAUACUGGAAGGCUUGAAUCCGGGAGAGGGAUGCGGAAUUCCAGGUGUAGCGGUGAAAUGCGUAGAUAUCUGGAGGAACACCGGUGGCGAAGGCGGCAUCCUGGACCGGCAUUGACGCUGAGGCGCGAAAGCCAGGGGAGCAAACGGG